GACGAACGCUGGCGGCGUGCCUAAUACAUGCAAGUAGAACGCUGAAACUUGGUGCUUGCACCGAGCGGAUGAGUUGCGAACGGGUGAGUAACGCGUAGGUAACCUGCCUGGUAGCGGGGGAUAACUAUUGGAAACGAUAGCUAAUACCGCAUAAGAGUAGAUGUUGCAUGACAUUUGCUUAAAAGGUGCAAUUGCACCACUACCAGAUGGACCUGCGUUGUAUUAGCUAGUUGGUGGGGUAACGGCUCACCAAGGCGACGAUACAUAGCCGACCUGAGAGGGUGAUCGGCCACACUGGGACUGAGACACGGCCCAGACUCCUACGGGAGGCAGCAGUAGGGAAUCUUCGGCAAUGGACGGAAGUCUGACCGAGCAACGCCGCGUGAGUGAAGAAGGUUGUCGGAUCGUAAAGCUCGGUUGUAAGAGAAGAACGAGUGUGAGAGUGGAAAGUUCACACUGUGACGGUAUCUUACCAGAAAGGGACGGCUAACUACGUG
rnacentral:rRNA from 1 species